GUGUCAGCAGCCGCGGUAAUACGAAGGGUCCUAUCGUUGUUCGGAAUUACUGGGCGUAAAGGGCGCGUAGGCGGCCUACUAAGUCAGGUGUGAAAGCCCCGAGCUUAACUUGGGAACUGCACUUGAUACUGGUAGGCUAGAGAUCGGAAGAGGUGAGUGGAAUUCCUAGUGUAGAGGUGAAAUUCGUAGAUAUUAGGAAGAACACCAGUGGCGAAGGCGGCUCACUGGUCCGAUACUGACGCUAAGGCGCGAAAGCGUGGGGAGCAAACAGGAUUAGAUACCCGCGUAGUCC
rnacentral:rRNA from 1 species